GGCUAGUUGGAGUGCAGUGGUGUUUACAACUAACUGAUCACAAUCAGUUACAGAUUCCUUUGUUCCUUCACUUGACUAGCCUUAA
rnacentral:sRNA from 1 species